AUUCAGCUAGUUGAGCUUUACCUUUUCAGGAACCAGAUGAAGAGACAUAAAGAAGAGUUAUACUGAGUUUGGUUUAUAUGCUGUUGUGUUAAAUAGAUUAUUUUCUUCCCUCGUCUUUGUUAUUACAAGUUUGUAAGAGGGAUAGAAGUUGUAUGUUCUAUAUGUAUAUUAUAUUAUGAGAUAUUAUGUAAGGAGUCUUGUAUAUGAAUCUAUGCC